rnacentral:rRNA from 1 species
UUUGCUGACGAGUGGCGGACGGGUGAGUAAUGUCUGGGAAACUGCCUGAUGGAGGGGGAUAACUACUGGAAACGGUAGCUAAUACCGCAUAACGUCGCAAGACCAAAGAGGGGGACCUUCGGGCCUCUUGCCAUCGGAUGUGCCCAGAUGGGAUUAGCUAGUAGGUGGGGUAACGGCUCACCUAGGCGACGAUCCCUAGCUGGUCUGAGAGGAUGACCAGCCACACUGGAACUGAGACACGGUCCAGACUCCUACGGGAGGCAGCAGUGGGGAAUAUUGCACAAUGGGCGCAAGCCUGAUGCAGCCAUGCCGCGUGUAUGAAGAAGGCCUUCGGGUUGUAAAGUACUUUCAGCGGGGAGGAAGGCGAUAAGGUUAAUAACCUUGUCGAUUGACGUUACCCGCAGAAGAAGCACCGGCUAACUCCGUGCCAGCAGCCGCGGUAAUACGGAGGGUGCAAGCGUUAAUCGGAAUUACUGGGCGUAAAGCGCACGCAGGCGGUCUGUCAAGUCGGAUGUGAAAUCCCCGGGCUCAACCUGGGAACUGCAUUCGAAACUGGCAGGCUAGAGUCUUGUAGAGGGGGGUAGAAUUCCAGGUGUAGCGGUGAAAUGCG